UAUCGCGUUUUAUUUGACGGCGACGACGACUUCAACAACCACAAAAACUCUAUCUCAUUCAUCCUUCCAUACCUGGUUUAAGAUUUCGAUGGACCUGCCACAACCCAGUUUGCAGAAUUUCAGCCCGAGAGAUACUCAUCCAUCAUCAAUAUCACAAGCAUUUCUUUUUUUUUUCUGGUCCCAACAAGCUCCUCUUUUUCCUCAGUCGUCGUUGUAUCCGUCAGUUUCUAUAAUGCCUCGGCAACAGAAGCUUUUGUCAUCACGAGUGCUUAAAGUGUGAUUCGCUGAAUCCAUAGGGUUACCCAUUGCAGGAUCUACUGAUUAUUGGCUUGGCAGAGGAUGUGAAAUACAAGAAUGAAGAUUUGAGAGGUAUUUGAAUGGGAACCGGCUUGUUAGGACAAUAAGAAUGAAGUUUAAAAACAUGGACAGUUCGUAGAAGAACCCCAGCAGUGACAAGCAGUGACAUGGAUAGUUUGUUAAGGAAUCACAUCAGUUACACAUGGACAUGUCUACAAGGUGUACGUGUGGACAUCGCUAGACGAUGUACAUGUGGACGUGAACAUAAUGGUUUAGCUUCUUGUAACAUAAUGGACAACAAAAAUUAUUGUCUAUGUGUAUGCUUAUGGCAUGUACAUGUUUUCAUGAGAGUACUUGUACACCCACUGUAUCGGUUUUAAAUUUUCCUAAUGCAAGACUAAUGUGUAUGUUUUUUUUUCAGUUUAUGUGUGCAUAAAAAAAUAGUAUCCAUGUGUACAUUUUUUUUCAUGUACACAUCAUUGUGAUGAAACUACAUGUACAACAUUAAGAUUAUCCAUAUGUACACUGUAAAGAACUAUCCACAUGUACGCCUUUCUUUAUAGAAAAACAACACAUUUAGCUAAAUUACUACUCACAUGACCCUUUUAAUCUCUUUGUCCAAGUCAUGGGGUAUAAACCCUUUCUUCAACUUGAAGUUGGUCUCGAGUUUUUGCCUGGCUUUUGCUUUACUUUCCAUCUUCUUACCAAGUAAUUCAACUUGAAGUUGUAUCUUUUUCAUAGUAGCCUAUACCUUGGGUUUAUUUUC